rnacentral:rRNA from 1 species
UACGUAGGGGGCAAGCGUUAUCCGGAUUUACUGGGUGUAAAGGGGGCGCAGACGGCGAUGCAAGCCAGGAGUGAAAGCCCGGGGCCCAACCCCGGGACUGCUCUUGGAACUGCGUGGCUGGAGUGCAGGAGGGGCAGGCGGAAUUCCUGGUGUAGCGGUGAAAUGCGUAGAUAUCAGGAAGAACACCAGUGGCGAAGGCGAUUCUCUGGACUGUGACUGACGCUGAGGCUCGAAAGCGUGGGGAGCAAACAGG